rfam:Heterocephalus glaber contig212534, whole genome shotgun sequence.
GCAGAUGUAGUUCAGUGGGAGAGCACUUGCCUCGCAUGUGUGAGGUCUGGGUUCAAUCCCCAGGAGCAGCA